AUUGAACGCUGGCGGCAGGCCUAACACAUGCAAGUCGAGCGGGGACUUCGGCCCUAGCGGCGAACGGGUGAGUAAUGCUUGGGAAUCUGCCCAGUAGUGGGGGAUAACGUCCCGAAAGGGACGCUAAUACCGCAUACGUCCUACGGGAGAAAGAGGGGGAUCUUCGGACCUCUCGCUAUUGGAUGAGCCCAAGUCGGAUUAGCUAGUUGGUAGGGUAAUGGCCUACCAAGGCGACGAUCCGUAGCUGGUCUGAGAGGAUGAUCAGCCACACUGGAACUGAGACACGGUCCAGACUCCUACGGGAGGCAGCAGUGGGGAAUAUUGGACAAUGGGCGAAAGCCUGAUCCAGCCAUGCCGCGUGUGUGAAGAAGGCCUUCGGGUUGUAAAGCACUUUAAGCGGGGAGGAAGGUUCGCGGCCUAAUACGUCGCGGAAUUGACGUUACCCGCAGAAUAAGCACCGGCUAACUCUGUG
rnacentral:rRNA from 1 species